UGUUCAAACACCUCUCAACUAUGGGGCUCCAGGAAGUAGAAUUCUUGUCACAACUCGCAGUGAAAAAGUUGCUUCCACUGUGCGGUUAUGUAAAGUGCAUCGCCUAAAGCAAUUACAAGAAAAUCAUUGUUGGCAAAUUUUUGCUAAACUUGCAUUCCAAGAUUAUCACCCCAGUUGAAUGCUGAUUUGUAGGAGAUUGCUACAACGAUAGUUGAAAAUUGCAAAGGAUUGCCUUUGGCAUUGAAAACAAUCGGAAGUCUUUUACAUACAAAGUCAUCUAUUUCGGAAUGGAAAAAUGUAUUGAAAGCAGCAUAUGGGACUUAACCAAAGAAGAAGAUUGUGAAAUUAUCCCUGCUCUAUUUUUGAGCUAUCACCACCUUCCUUGUCAUCUCAAGAGAUGCUUUACUUUUUGUGCCUUAUUUCCCAAAGAUUACGAGUUUGACAAGGAUGGCUUAAUUGAGUUGUGGAUGACUGAGAAUUUUAUACAAUGCCCUAGACAGAGCAAGAGUCCAGAAGAAGUUGGUGAACAGUACUUUGAUGUUCUAUUAUGGAGGUCUUUCUUUCAACAGUCAAGCAGAUUCAAAACAUGUUUUGUCAUGCAUAGCCUUCUUAUCGAUUUGGAAAAAUAUGUUUCUGGGGAGAUCUAUUUCAGGUUGGAAGUUGAUAAAGGAAAAUGUAUACCCAAAACAACCCGUCAUUUUUUCAUUUUCAACCGAAGACGUUAGAUAUUUUGACGGUUUUGGGAGUUUAAUUUCUUACUUCUUACGUGUCUUAUCUUUCUCUCAUUGUUCUGACCUUAGAGAUGUUCCUGACUCAUUAUGCAAUCUUAAACAUAUUCUUUAGACCUUUCAAGUACUGGCACACAAAAACUACCUGAUUCAAUAUGUUCUCUCCAUAACUUGCUAAUACUAAAGCUGAACUUUUGUCACAAUUUGGAAGAGCUGCCCUCGAAUCUGCAUAAACUCACCAAUUUGUGCUGCCUUGAAAUUGAAGGUACUAAAGUGAAAAAGAUGCCAAUGCAUUUGGGAGAACUGAAGAAUCUUCAAGUACUCAGUAGGUUUUGUGAGGAGGACUCAAUAUUCAUGGAAAGCUAUCUAUUGAGGAGCUGUAGAAUAUUGUGAAUCCAUCGGAUGCAUUAGCAGUAGAUUUGAAAAAUAAAACACACCUUUUGAGGCUAGAGUUAAAAUGGAAUUAAAACCUAAUAGUAUAUAGUAGAUACAGCUGAGUCAUUGCUGGCUCAGCAUAAGAGUUAGUUAGUUAAACUAACUACUUUUGUAGUUAGAAUCUUCUGUAUAUAUCCUACUGUGUAAUUCUGUUGUAACUAACUAAUUCAGAAAUACAAUAACAGCUUCACAGUAGUUUAGUUUUCUCUCUUUCUUUCUCACCUCCAUGAAUUUCUACAAAACCACAUCCCUGAUGGUCCAAGGAAAGAAAAGGAAGUACUUGAGAAUUUACAACCUUCCAGACUUUUGGUGGAUUUGUCAAUCAGGAAUUACGAUGGUACACAAUUUUCAAGUUGGUUAUUUGAUAAUUCAUUAUUGAAUUUGGUAUCCUUACGGUUGGAGGACUGUAAAUAUUGCCUUCUGUCGGGCUUUUGCCAUUUCUCAAGCACCUGGCUAUUAGAGGGUUUGAUGGGAUAGUGAGUAUUGGUGCUGAAUUUUAUGGUAGUAUAUCUUUACCAUUUGCAUCCUUAGAAACAUUGAUAUUCAGUUCUAUGAAGGAAUGGGAAGAAUGGGAAUGUAAAGCUGUUUUUCUAUGUCUUUAAUAUCUUACUAUAGUAGAAUGUCCGAAGCUGAAAGGUCUGUCAGAGCAACUUCUUCACUCAAAGGAACUAAGUAUUCAUAACUGUGGGAGGCUCGAAAGGAUUGGGCACAUCAUAUCUGAUAUUUCUCUUGAAGAGUUGAACAUCAUUUCUUGCCCAUAUUCGAAUAUUCCCAUGAGUCGUUGCUACGAUUUCCUCCAAGAAGUAGGGAUCAGUGAUGCCUGUGACUCUAAUGAUUUUUCCGUUAGAUUUCUUCCCAAAACUUUGUAUUCUUCGACUGUUCUGGGGUCAUAACCUACAAAUGAUUUCAGAGGAGCACACUCAUAAUCAUCUCAAGGAACUGGAAAUUAGCGGGUACCCUCAAUUUGAAUCAUUUCCCAAUGAAGGAUUAUUGGCACUGUGGCUAAAGAUAUUAGUAUUCGGGUAUUAGAGAAUUUGAAAUUAUUGCCUAAACGCAUGCAUAUCCUCCUUCCAUCUAUUUUUCACCUAUCUAUAGAGGAUUGUCCACAAGUGAAGAUGUUCUCAGAUGGAGGUUUUCCAUCAAACCUAAAUAACGUGCAACUCUCUAGUUUCAAACUUAUCACCUCACCGAAAGGGACCUUGGGAGCCAACACCUCUCUAAAAAGGUUGUAUAUUCGAAAAGUGGAUGUGGAGUCUUUUCCAGAUGAAGGAUUUCUGCUACUGUCUCUUACUUUUCUAGAAAUACGUGAUUGCCCAGAUCUUAAAAAACUGGACUACAAGGGUCUCUGCCAACUUUCCUCUCUCAAGGAAUUGAGGCUUGAAAACUGCCCCAGCCUCCAAUGCUUACCAGAGGAGGGUCUGCCCAAAUCCAUUUGAACUCUUGGAAUUUCGGGUUGUCCAUUGCUCAAACAGCGUUGCCAGAGACCAGAAGGCGAAGACUGGGGAAAGAUUGCCCACUUUGAAAAGCUGUAUAUUAAAAGGUACCGAUGUUAAGAGUAGGAUCAAGCAGUCAAGUGUCACAGAAAUUGCCAUCAACUUCUUUGGUGGUUGAAAGUGUUAUUUAUGUCAGAGAUGAUGACAAAGAAAUGAUCAUUAAUUGGCUCACAUAUGAAACUGGCAACUAUAAGCAGCUAUCAAUAAUUUCUAUUGUGGGCAUGAGUGGGGUGGGUAACACAACGCUCGCCCAACAUGUAUACAAUGAUACAAGGAUGGAGGAGGCUGAUUUUGUUAUCAAAGCUUGGGUCUGUGUUUAUGAUGAUUUUGAUGUUUUGACACUGACAAGAACAAUUCUUGAGGUAAUCACUAAAUCAAAAGAUGAUAGUGGAUACCUAGAAAUGGUUCAUGGAAAAUUGAAAGAAAAUUUGAAAUGUUAUUAGUCUUGAAACAUUUAUUUUAUGAUUGGUUUUUUAGCUUUUUUAUUUUAUUUUUUAGCUUUUAGAUUGAUUGUUAAAUCAGUUUAAUCUCAACUUGUUCGAUCCUGCAGUGAUCAAUUUUUGAACUUAUGUAGAUGAAUAAAGGCAAGUGAUGAUGAAGGGGGCGUGGCAGACUAGGGGAGCAGAGCUGUAGUAGAGGAUUAUGAUUAUAGACUACUAAUUAAUUUCUGCUAAAGGUGACAUCCAGGAAAAGAUCAAUGGCACCCUUACGUGAGCUUUAUAGCUUUGUUACUGUCAAGGAUUUUGCUAAAGCCUUUCAGAUUUCCAGUGACUUUUGUACUGUCAAAGGAUCCUUUGUGGGCUUAUUCCCCUCCACCUUGGAUCCUCAAAUUACCAAUAACCCCUUGUAGAAGUUGCUAUCUGGAUCUGGAAAUGAUUCUUUUAUUACGAUUGUUUAAAAAAAUUGUAUUGCUACUUCUCUUCCGGAUGAUGCAUAAAUUAUUGGGUUUAUGUACUUGUA